rnacentral:rRNA from 1 species
CCUACGGGAGGCAGCAGUGGGGAAUAUUGGACAAUGGGCGAAAGCCUGAUCCAGCAAUGCCGCGUGAGUGAUGAAGGCCUUAGGGUUGUAAAGCUCUUUUACCAGGGAUGAUAAUGACAGUACCUGGAGAAUAAGCUCCGGCUAACUCCGUGCCAGCAGCCGCGGUAAUACGGAGGGAGCUAGCGUUGUUCGGAAUUACUGGGCGUAAAGCGUACGUAGGCGGUUAUUCAAGUCAGAGGUGAAAGCCUGGAGCUCAACUCCAGAACUGCCUUUGAAACUAGAUAGCUAGAAUCUUGGAGAGGUGAGUGGAAUUCCGAGUGUAGAGGUGAAAUUCGUAGAUAUUCGGAAGAACACCAGUGGCGAAGGCGACUCACUGGACAAGUAUUGACGCUGAGGUACGAAAGCGUGGGGAGCAAACAGGAUUAGAUACCCUGGUAGUCCACGCCGUAAACGAUGAUAACUAGCUGUUCGGGCUCUACGAGCUUGAGUGGCGCAGACUACGACAUUAAGUUAUCCGUCCGUCGGGAGGUACGGUCGCGAAGAAUUAAAACUAACGAAAGGAAGUUAGUACGGCGUGAGACGUAGACCGAACGGACGACGACGAGGGAGGAGG